GAUGAACGCUGGCGGCGUGCCUAAUACAUGCAAGUCGAGCGAACAGAUGAGGAGCUUGCUCCUCUGACGUUAGCGGCGGACGGGUGAGUAACACGUGGAUAACCUACCUAUAAGACUGGGAUAACUACGGGAAACCGGAGCUAAUACCGGAUAAUAUAUUGAACCGCAUGGUUCAAUAGUGAAAGACGGUUUUGCUGUCACUUAUAGAUGGAUCCGCGCCGCAUUAGCUAGUUGGUAAGGUAACGGCUUACCAAGGCAACGAUGCGUAGCCGACCGGAGAGGGUGAUCGGCCACCCUGGAACUGAGACACGGUCCAGACUCCUACGGGAGGCAGCAGUAGGGAAUCUUCCGCAAUGGGCGAAAGCCUGACGGAGCAACGCCGCGUGAGUGAUGAAGGUCUUCGGAUCGUAAAACUCUGUUAUUAGGGAAGAACAAAUGUGUAAGUAACUAUGCACGUCUUGACGGUACCUAAUCAGAAAGCCACGGCUAACUACGUG
rnacentral:rRNA from 1 species